UACGUAGGGGCCGAGCGUUGUCCGGAAUUAUUGGGCGUAAAGAGCUUGUAGGCGGUUUGUCGCGUCUGCUGUGAAAUUUCGGGGCUCAACCCCGAACUUGCAGUGGGUACGGGCAGACUAGAGUGUGGUAGGGGAGACUGGAAUUCCUGGUGUAGCGGUGAAAUGCGCAGAUAUCAGGAGGAACACCGAUGGCGAAGGCGGGUCUCUGGGCCGUAACUGACGCUGAGGAGCGAAAGCGUGGGGAGCGAACAGG
rnacentral:rRNA from 1 species